GGAUUAGAUACCCUGGUAGUCCAUGCCGUAAACGUUGGGCACUAGGUGUGGGGGACAUUCCAUGUUUUCCGCGCCGUAGCUAACGCAUUAAGUGCCCCGCCUGGGGAGUACGGCCGCAAGGCUAAAACUCAAAGGAAUUGACGGGGGCCCGCACAAGCGGCGGAGCAUGCGGAUUAAUUCGAUGCAACGCGAAGAACCUUACCAAGGCUUGACAUAUACCGGAUCGUUCCAGAGAUGGUUCUUCCCCUUUGGGGUCGGUAUACAGGUGGUGCAUGGUUGUCGUCAGCUCGUGCCG
rnacentral:rRNA from 1 species